CACUUUUCAUACACAAGGCAGACUCAAAUUGCUUCACAUAUAAACAUUGUCAUACAAUAAAAUAAAAUAAUAGAUAAGUAAAAGAAAACAUAUGCAAAGAAAUGAGUAAAAUAGAAAGUGCAAUGUAUUUAAGAUCACAUCAACAGUCUCUCUGGUAUCCAACCCGACCUAAAGGAACUUGGUACUUUCUCUGGGACUCCAACCAGGAUUCUAGUAACCCUUAUCCUUUCUCUCUGGUAUCAGAUCAUGUAUCUUUCUGGUAAAAAUAGACAAUUAAAUUGAAAGUUAAAAAGGCUUUUUAAGUAAGUAAAAUUGAAAGUGCAAUGUAUUUAAGAUCAGAUCAACAGUCUCUCUGGAACCCAAGUCGGGACUCCAACCCGACCUAAAGGUACUUUCUCUGGGACUCCAAUCCAGAUUCUAGGACUCUAACCCGGACAGAACUUGGAAACGUCUCCCACGGAGCUCGGUAUGCCAACACCAGAUGAUGGCUCACUUUUUGUUCCUCUCAGAUUCAACACAACCAAUAUCUGUGAUUCCACGGCAGGAAUCAAAACAACAUAACACUAACCACGAACCAAAGGAACCCACGUCGGGACUCCAACCCGACCUAAAGGAACUUGAUCCUUUCUCUGGGACUCCAACCCAACCUAAAGGAACUUGGUCCUUUCUCUGGGACUCCAACCCGACCUAAAGGAACUAGGUCCUUUCUCUGGGACUCCAACCCGACCUAAAGGAACUUGGUCCUUUCUCUGGGACUCCAACCCGACCUAAGGAACUUGGUCCUUUCUCUGGGACUCCAACCCAGAUUCUAGGACUCUAACCCAGACAGAACUUGGGUCUCAAACCCUUAUCCUUUCUCUCUGGUAUCAGAUCAUGUAUCUUUCUGGUAAAAAUAGAAAAUAAAGGGAAAGUUAAAAAGGCAUUUUAGUAAAAUAAAGGCAAAGUAUUUAAAAUUUAGCAGAAAGCUAAAGCAAACAUAAAAGUCUUCAAUCUUGUUUUAAAGGUGCUCAGAGUUGGGGCAAGUCUUAAAUCCUCAGGGAGUUUAUUCCAGCUAUUUGUUGCAUAGUAACUAAAUCCUGCUUUCCCAUGUUUCGUGUUUACUCUGGGGAUAAUUAACAGAUUGGUUUUAGAAGAUCUUAGUGUUCUAGAAGGCUUAUGUAGUGGAAGCAUAUCAGUUAAAUAUUUUGGGCCUAAACCAUGUAGGGAUUUAUAGGUUAGCAACAUGAUUUUAAAAUAAAUUCUCUGACCUACAGG
ensembl:lncRNA